AUUGAACGCUGGCGGCAGGCUUAACACAUGCAAGUCGAGCGGUAACAGGAGAAGCUUGCUUCUCGCUGACGAGCGGCGGACGGGUGAGUAAUACUUAGGAAUCUACCUAGUAGUGGGGGAUAGCUCGGGGAAACUCGAAUUAAUACCGCAUACGACCUACGGGAGAAAGGGGGCAGUUUACUGCUCUCGCUAUUAGAUGAGCCUAAGUCGGAUUAGCUAGUUGGUGGGGUAAAGGCCUACCAAGGCGACGAUCUGUAGCUGGUCGGAGAGGAUGAUCAGCCACGCCGGGACUGCGACACGGCCCGGACUCGUACGGGAAGCAGCAGUGGGGAAUAUUGGACAAUGGGGGCAACCCUGAUCCAGCCAUGCCGCGUGUGUGAAGAAGGCCUUUUGGUUGUAAAGCACUUUAAGCAGUGAAGAAGACUCUAUGGUUAAUACCCAUAGACGAUGACAUUGGCUGCAGAAUAAGCACCGGCUAACUCUGUGCCAGCCGCCGCGGUAA
rnacentral:rRNA from 1 species